CAUAUUGCACAACGCUUUCUUUCCACUCUCCUUGUGUUUCAGGUCUUGGAUCUCUUCCUGGGCUCCUGCACUCUGAUAUCCAUCUCACCCGCUUGUCUUGGAUCUCUUCCUGGGCUCCUGCACUCUGAUAUCCAUCUCACCCGCUUGUCUUGGAUCUCUUCCUGGGCUCCUGCACACUGAUAUCCAUCUCACCCGCUUCUAAGUUUCCGUCACAGCCGGCGUGGAAACCUGGAGGUUCCCUCCAGAUUGCACAACACUUUCUUUCCAAUCUCCUUAUUUUUCAGGUCUUGGAUCUCUUCCUGGGCUCCUGCACUCUGAUAUCCAUCUCACCCGCUUGUAAGUAUCCAUCACAGCCGGCGUGGAAACCUGGAGGUUCCCUCCAGAUUUCACAACGCUUUCUUUCCAAUCUCCUUAUGUUUCAGGUCUUGGAUCUCUUCCUGGGCUCCUGCACUCUGAUAUCCAUCUCACCCGCUUGUAACUAUCCAUUACAGCCUUCGUGGAAACCUGGAGGUUCCCUCCAGAUUUCACAACGCUGUCUUUCCAAUCGCCUUGUGUUUCAGGUCUUGGAUCUGUUCCUGGGCUCCUGCACUCUGAUAUCCAUCUCACCCGCUUGUAAGUGUCCGUCACAACCAGUGU
ensembl:lncRNA